rnacentral:rRNA from 1 species
GACGAGGGGUCCAAGCGUUGUUCGGAAUCAUUGGGCGUAAAGCGGGUGUAGGUGGCUUUGUAAGUCAGGAGUGAAAUCCCCGAGCUUAACUUGGGAAGUGCUUUUGAAACUGUAGAGCUUGAAUGUGGGAGAGGAUCGUGGAAUUCCAGGUGUAGUGGUGAAAUACGUAGAUAUCUGGAGGAACACCGGUGGCGAAGGCGGCGAUCUGGCCCAACAUUGACACUGAGGCGCGAAAGCUAGGGGAGCAAACGGG